UUGCGACUAUAUCGCGUUGAAAAACCGGUUCACGUACGAUCACCGAAGUAAAGCAACCUCGAGCCUGGUCACUAACUAGAUGGGUGACCACUUGGGAAUACCAGGUGCUGUAAG